rnacentral:rRNA from 1 species
UACAGAGGUCCCAAGCGUUGUUCGGAUUCACUGGGCGUAAAGGGUGCGUAGGUGGUGAGGUGUGUCGGAUGUGAAAUCUCGGAGCUUAACUCCGAAACUGCAUUGGAAACUACCUUGCUAGAGGGUUGGAGGGGGGACUGGAAUACUUGGUGUAGCAGUGAAAUGCGUAGAUAUCAAGUGGAACACCAGUGGCGAAGGCGAGUCCCUGGACAACUCCUGACACUGAGGCACGAAAGCUAGGGGAGCAAACAGG